rnacentral:lncRNA from 1 species
CUGGAGGCCAGCAGAGCGGUGGCCUGGAGCUCGGCCCUGACGUGCAGGAAGUAGUGACUGAGGAACACACGGCGCUGCAGCAGCAGGAACAGGAAGCAGACGCUGUCCCAGAGGACGCCGGCUUCCUCCACCGGCAGCAGGCAGUCCUGGUCCCUGCUCAGCAUCUCCUUGGCUGCAGGACAGACACAACACGGCAGGGUGGUGCCGAAGAGCAGCAGGUAGAAGCAGGCCAGCAGGUAGCCCAGCCCGAAGAUGCUGAUGCGGGUGGCCCCCGUGACGAACACCACCACCAGCACCAGCCAGAAGAGGUAGCGGAAGACGGCCACCUUCAGCAUGUCGAGGGACACCACUGGCAGUGUCUGUCCCAGGCUCGGUCCUAGCCGGAGCCUGGGGACGUCUUUCAGCCCUGCUGACCAGCUGCCGCCGCAGCCCCGCAAGCCCCCAGCCCUGAGAGGGCUCCUCAGGCUGCCGCCACCCCGAGACUUACCUGCAGUGGAUGAAGUUGGGCACAGGGUUGGGCUCCCCACGCAGCGGCUCCAGGUGGUCAGUGUUGACGCCAGCCAUGUGUUGCCACUCCUCGGUGCGCUCGGCUGAGAACACCUGCCACUGCUGGGAGGCGCAGAGCAGCAGGAGGAAGUCAC